AGUGAACGCUGGCGGUAGGCCUAACACAUGCAAGUCGAACGGCAGCACAGUAAGAGCUUGCUCUUACGGGUGGCGAGUGGCGGACGGGUGAGGAAUACAUCGGAAACUACUUUUUCGUGGGGGGUAACGUAGGGAAACUUACGCUAAUACCGCAUAAGACCUACGGGUGAAAGCAGGGGUUCUUCGGACCUUGCGCGAUUGAAUGAGCCGAUGUCGCAUUAGCUAGUUGGGGGGGUAAUGGCCCACCAAGGCGACGAUCCGUAGCUGGUCUGAGAGGAUGAUCAGCCACACUGGAACUGAGACACGGUCCAGACUCCUACGGGAGGCAGCAGUGGGGAAUAUUGCACAAUGGGCGCAAGCCUGACCCAGCCAUGCCGCGUGGGUGAAGAAGGCCUUCGGGUUGUAAAGCUCUGUUGUUGGGAAAGAAAAACAGCAGGAUUAACCCCCGCUGUCCUGACGGUACCCAAUGAAUAAGCACCGGCUAACUACGUG
rnacentral:rRNA from 1 species